GACGAACCGUGCGAACGUUAUUCGGAAUCACUGGGCUUAAAGCGCGUGUAGGCGGCCCUGCAAGUCGGAUGUGAAAUCCCACGGCUCAACCGUGGAAGUGCAUUCGAAACUGCAGGGCUAGAGUCCUGGAGAGGAAGGUGGAAUGCUUGGUGUAGAGGUGAAAUUCGUAGAUAUCAAGCGGAACACCGGUGGCGAAGGCGGCCUUCUGGACAGUGACUGACGCUGAGACGCGAAAGCGUGGGGGGCAAACAGG
rnacentral:rRNA from 1 species